rnacentral:rRNA from 1 species
GUCCACGCCGUAAACGAUGAUUACUCGUUUUGGGUUUAAUUACUCAGAGGCUAAGCGAAAGUGAUAAGUAAUCCACCUGGGGAGUACGUCCGCAAGGAUGAAACUCAAAGGAAUUGACGGGGCCCGCACAAGCGGAGGAUCAUGUGGUUUAAUUCGAUGAUACGCGAGGAACCUUACCAGGGCUUAAAUGGGAAUUGACCGUUUUGGAAACAGAACUUUUCGCAAGACAAUUUUCAAGGUGCUGCAUGGUUGUCGU